UGGCUGUGAAAAUGUCCACAAUGCUCCUGCGCCACUGCAUCAUCACCAAAACAGUGACUUACACACUAAGUAGGCUACAGCUGACAAGUUUUUAAACCGGACACAGAUCAGCUGAGGUUAGAGAUGAUGACGAGGAUGGACGAGGCUCAGGUUCUUUAACCUCAGUCACCUCAGCGAUUUCCUCCUCAGGGAAAAGGGAAAGCUGUUUCAUCCUUAUUUCCAGUACUUGUGAGCAGAAAUAGACACAUGUACAAACUCCAAUCUCAUCACUCCUGUGGGAAGCUGAGUGUGAGACACGGAGAUAACAGAGGUCCAGUUUGUCUGGCUCACCCAGACUCAGGGGUACAGCACUGAGUGUCUGCUGGAAAAGUGUAGGCUGGCUCCUGCUUUUAUACACCUGUUUCAUCGAGUAGGUGGAUACUUUCCAGUUCAAGUGCAACACAUAAUAGCUCGCUUCAGCUGAGUAUUGUGUUUUUAGCUGAAAAAUAUCAUUUCCCUUCUGAUAAUAGUCUCAUAACCACACAGACACCCAUCUUUCAUGUAGACCUUGGCUUCUUUCAUGUAUUAUUCACAAUUCAUACAAAUUCAUGUCAUAUUCUGAAAGACUACACAAUGCAGUC